GACGAACGCUGGCGGCGUGCUUAACACAUGCAAGUCGAGCGGUAAGGCCCUUUCGGGGGUACACGAGCGGCGAACGGGUGAGUAACACGUGGGUGACCUGCCCUCAGCUCUGGGAUAAGCCUGGGAAACCGGGUCUAAUACCGGAUAUGACUCCAUGACGCAUGUUGUGGGGUGGAAAGCCUUGUGCGGCUGAGGAUGGGCCCGCGGCCUAUCAGUC
rnacentral:rRNA from 1 species